rnacentral:rRNA from 1 species
UACGAAGGGGGCUAGCGUUGCUCGGAAUUACUGGGCGUAAAGGGCGCGUAGGCGGCACUGUUAGUCAGGCGUGAAAUUCCUGGGCUCAACCUGGGGACUGCGCUUGAUACGGCAGAGCUUGAGGAUGGAAGAGGGUCGCGGAAUUCCAGGUGUAGCGGUGAAAUGCGUAGAUAUCUGGAGGAACACCGGUGGCGAAGGCGGCAUCCUGGACCAACACUGACGCUGAGGAGCGAAAGCCAGGGGAGCAAACGGG